rnacentral:tRNA from 1 species
GAGGGGACACCUCAGAGGUAGAGGGGAUGCUUGGCAUGCAUGAGGUCCUGGAUUCAAUCCCCAGUCCUUCCA